rnacentral:tRNA from 1 species
GCUCAGUCGGCUAAGCGUUUGACUUCGGCUCAGGUCAUCAUCUUGCAGUUCGUGGGUUCGAGUCCCACACUGGGCU